rnacentral:miRNA from 1 species
CAAAACAUAUUUUGGUGGAUUGU